CCUAAAUUCUAGCCCACACAAUUCUCAUGCACCUUCCCCCAUACCGCCCAUUUAACAAACCAUUCUCUUCUUUUAGUAGAGGCGAUCGAAAAAUGUCUAAGCGCUUCAGAAAAAGUACCGUAAGGGAAUGAUGAAAUAGUUAUGAAAAAGUCUUCAAGCCCCUAAUAGCAGAGACUCACUCUCGUACCUUUUGCAUCAUGGUCUAGCUAGUCCACCCAAGCAAAACGAAACUUUUAGUUUGCCCCCCCGAAACUAAGCGAGCUACUUCGGAACAGCCCCAAGGGGCUAACCCGUCUCUGUUGCAAAAGAGUGGGAAGAUUCCUAAGUAGAAGUGAUAAACCUAACGAGCUUAGAGAUAGCUGGUUAUUCAGGAAAAGAGUCUCAGCCCUACCUUAAGUUUUUUUAUGCUAUGUAACCUAAGCAAAUUCGUUAACUUAAGAGCUAUUCAAAUAAGGCACAGCUUAUUUGAAACAGGAUACAACCUAUUACACCGGGUAAACACGGGUACAAAAAACUAAGUGGGCCUAAAAGCAGCCACCUUCCAAAAAGCGUCAAAGCUUAAUUAUAAAUAACCUCAAAUUUCUCUAUUCCCCCUGAACCCUUCUUCACUACUGAAUUUUUUUAUAAACUUAUAAAACCAAUUAUGCUAGAACUAGUAACAAGAAAUUUGCCUUUCUCCUAAAUGUAAGUAUAAACCAAAAUGGACACACCAUUGGUCUUUAACGCAAAUGCUAAAAUUAUAGUAACCUAAGCCAGAAUAAUCUAUAAUCUUUAACGUUAAUCUAACACCAGAACAUUACAGGAAAGAUUAAAAGAGAGAGAAGGAACUCGGCAAACUUAAGCCCCGCCUGUUUACCAAAAACAUCGCCUCUUGCUCAAACAUAAGAGGUCCAGCCUGCCCAGUGACUAAGUUCAACGGCCGCGGUACCCUAACCGUGCGAAGGUAGCAUAAUCACUUGUCUUCUAAAUAGGGACUUGUAUCAAUGGCACCACGAGGGCUGUACUGUCUCCUCUCUCUAAUCAGUGAAACUGAUCUUCCCGUGAAGAAGCGGGAAUUAAGCUAUAAGACGAGAAGACCCCAUGGAGCUUUAAGCUCACCAUGCACCUUAUUACUCCUAAGAUCACCUUAUGCCAAAAUCCUGCAUGCUCGCUUUAGGUUGGGGAGACCAUGGAGAAAAACUUAACCUCCAUGACAAACGGACUAAACCCUUAUCUGCGAACGACAUUUCUAAGAAUUAAAAAAUUAAUGUUUUUGACCCAAGCAUUUGAUUAACGAACCAAGUUACCCUGGGGAUAACAGCGCUAUCUACUUCAAGAGCCCCUAUCGACAAGUAGGUUUACGACCUCGAUGUUGGAUCAGGGUAUCCUAGUGGUGCAACCGCUAC
rnacentral:rRNA from 1 species